rnacentral:rRNA from 1 species
GGGUUGUGAGGUUAAGCGACUAAGCGUACACGGUGGAUGCCCUGGCAGUCAGAGGCGAUGAAGGACGUGCUAAUCUGCGAAAAGCGUCGGUAAGGUGAUAUGAACCGUUAUAACCGGCGAUGUCCGAAUGGGGAAACCCAGUGCAAUUCGUUGCACUAUCGUUAACUGAAUACAUAGGUUAACGAGGCGAACCGGGGGAACUGAAACAUCUAAGUACCCCGAGGAAAAGAAAUCAACCGAGAUUCCCCCAGUAGCGGCGAGCGAACGGGGAGCAGCCCAGAGUCUGAAUCAGCUUGUGUGUUAGUGGAACGGUCUGGAAAGUCCGACGGUACAGGGUGAUAGUCCCGUACACCAAAAUGCACAGGUUGUGAACUCGAAGAGUAGGGCGGGACACGUGGUAUCCUGUCUGAAUAUGGGGGGACCAUCCUCCAAGGCUAAAUACUCCUGACUGACCGAUAGUGAACCAGUACCGUGAGGGAAAGGCGAAAAGAACCCCGGCGAGGGGAGUGAAAAAGAACCUGAAACCGUGUACGUACAAGCAGUGGGAGCACCUUCGGGUGUGACUGCGUACCUUUUGUAUAAUGGGUCAGCGACUUAUAUUCUGUAGCAAGGUUAACCGUAUAGGGGAGCCGCAGGGAAACCGAGUCUUAACUGGGCGUUAAGUUGCAGGGUAUAGACCCGAAACCCGGUGAUCUAGCCAUGGGCAGGUUGAAGGUUGGGUAACACUAACUGGAGGACCGAACCGACUAAUGUUGAAAAAUUAGCGGAUGACUUGUGGCUGGGGGUGAAAGGCCAAUCAAACCGGGAGAUAGCUGGUUCUCCCCGAAAGCUAUUUAGGUAGCGCCUCGUGAACUCAUCUUCGGGGGUAGAGCACUGUUUCGGCUAGGGGGUCAUCCCGACUUACCAACCCGAUGCAAACUACGAAUACCGAAGAAUGUUAUCACGGGAGACACACGGCGGGUGCUAACGUCCGUCGUGAAGAGGGAAACAACCCAGACCGCCAGCUAAGGUCCCAAAGUCAUGGUUAAGUGGGAAACGAUGUGGGAAGGCACAGACAGCCAGGAUGUUGGCUUAGAAGCAGCCAUCAUUUAAAGAAAGCGUAAUAGCUCACUGGUCGAGUCGGCCUGCGCGGAAGAUGUAACGGGGCUAAACCAUGCACCGAAGCUGCGGCAGCGACACUAUGUGUUGUUGGGUAGGGGAGCGUUCUGUAAGCCUGCGAAGGUGUGCUGUGAGGCAUGCUGGAGGUAUCAGAAGUGCGAAUGCUGACAUAAGUAACGAUAAAGCGGGUGAAAAGCCCGCUCGCCGGAAGACCAAGGGUUCCUGUCCAACGUUAAUCGGGGCAGGGUGAGUCGACCCCUAAGGCGAGGCCGAAAGGCGUAGUCGAUGGGAAACAGGUUAAUAUUCCUGUACUUGGUGUUACUGCGAAGGGGGGACGGAGAAGGCUAUGUUAGCCGGGCGACGGUUGUCCCGGUUUAAGCAUGUAGGCUGGUUAUCCAGGCAAAUCCGGAUAAUCAAGGCUGAGGUGUGAUGACGAGGCACUACGGUGCUGAAGUAACAAAUGCCCUGCUUCCAGGAAAAGCCUCUAAGCAUCAGGUAACAUCAAAUCGUACCCCAAACCGACACAGGUGGUCAGGUAGAGAAUACCAAGGCGCUUGAGAGAACUCGGGUGAAGGAACUAGGCAAAAUGGUGCCGUAACUUCGGGAGAAGGCACGCUGGUGUGUAGGUGAAGUCCCUGCGGAUGGAGCUGAGACCAGUCGAAGAUACCAGCUGGCUGCAACUGUUUAUUAAAAACACAGCACUGUGCAAACACGAAAGUGGACGUAUACGGUGUGACGCCUGCCCGGUGCCGGAAGGUUAAUUGAUGGGGUUAUCCGUAAGGAGAAGCUCUUGAUCGAAGCCCCGGUAAACGGCGGCCGUAACUAUAACGGUCCUAAGGUAGCGAAAUUCCUUGUCGGGUAAGUUCCGACCUGCACGAAUGGCGUAAUGAUGGCCAGGCUGUCUCCACCCGAGACUCAGUGAAAUUGAACUCGCUGUGAAGAUGCAGUGUACCCGCGGCAAGACGGAAAGACCCCGUGAACCUUUACUAUAGCUUGACACUGAACAUUGAGCCUUGAUGUGUAGGAUAGGUGGGAGGCUUUGAAGCGUGGACGCCAGUCUGCGUGGAGCCAACCUUGAAAUACCACCCUUUAAUGUUUGAUGUUCUAACGUUGGCCCCUUACCGGGGUUGCGGACAGUGUCUGGUGGGUAGUUUGACUGGGGCGGUCUCCUCCCAAAGCGUAACGGAGGAGCACGAAGGUUAGCUAAUCCUGGUCGGACAUCAGGAGGUUAGUGCAAUGGCAUAAGCUAGCUUGACUGCGAGCGUGACGGCGCGAGCAGGUGCGAAAGCAGGUCAUAGUGAUCCGGUGGUUCUGAAUGGAAGGGCCAUCGCUCAACGGAUAAAAGGUACUCCGGGGAUAACAGGCUGAUACCGCCCAAGAGUUCAUAUCGACGGCGGUGUUUGGCACCUCGAUGUCGGCUCAUCACAUCCUGGGGCUGAAGUAGGUCCCAAGGGUAUGGCUGUUCGCCAUUUAAAGUGGUACGCGAGCUGGGUUUAGAACGUCGUGAGACAGUUCGGUCCCUAUCUGCCGUGGGCGCUGGAGAAUUGAGGGGGGCUGCUCCUAGUACGAGAGGACCGGAGUGGACGCAUCACUGGUGUUCGGGUUGUCAUGCCAAUGGCACUGCCCGGUAGCUAAAUGCGGAAGAGAUAAGUGCUGAAAGCAUCUAAGCACGAAACUUGCCCCGAGAUGAGUUCUCCCUGAGACUUUAAGUCUCCUGAAGGAACGUUAAAGACGAUGACGUUGAUAGGCCGGGUGUGUAAGCGCAGCGAUGCGUUGAGCUAACCGGUACUAAUGAACCGUGAGGCUUAACCUUACAACGCCGAAG